AUCCCAUUCUCUUCCUCUUUCCUCUCUCGGCCGUAUCACUCUAUCUCUCCCCUGACCUCUCUCCUUCUCGUCCUCCCACUAAUAACGCCGGAAAACCCCAUCUCCGGCCACCACCAAUCAACGCAGCACCCAAAACCGACCCAAACCCGACCGAAAUCUUAGCCAUGCACCACCGUCCUCCUUCACACGCAACAACCCAAGAUACCUAAGACUGCGCGCUACUGUCCCUUGACUCUCGCCGGUUUCCGGCGAUUCCUCACCCUUCUACCAUCGUCGAUCUACUCAGCAAGCAAAGCGGAGCAAAACCCAGAACCCCUCUUUGCUGCUGACGCCAGAUAAGGCCAAACGAGCAUCACAGGAGCUCUCGGCCUUGCAUUCCUUCGCUCUUCUAUAUCCGGUCGAAACUAGGUUGCACGACCUCCAUAAUCGGAAUCGGAGCCUUGCCAACCACGAGAACCCAUGGUUUCGAUCUCCGGUUCCGACCAGAGACGCUGCACGCACCUCACGCGCUGCCGUGAGCCCCGCCAUCAUAGCCUAAUGGUUCCGCUUGGAAGAAACGAUGGGAUUCUGAAGAAAAAGGGCAGCUUCUGGUCAUUUUUUUGAUUGAGUUUUUAAGGGGAUGGUGAAGAACAGAGGACUGCAAGAAGUAGCAUGUUAUGGAGAUUUUGGUCUUGGCAGAGCAGGUAUGGGGUAAGAAAUCCCAGCCUUAAACUUAUGAAUUUAGCUUUGUUGGGAUAUUGAAAUUGAUUAAUUGAGCAUGUUGUUUUGUGGUGGAGAUGAAUACCUGGAAUUUGGUCAAGGACAUUAAGCCGAGGCUACCAAAGAAAGGAUUUGGAAAGGUUAGACUUAUGAGAAAGGACUCGAGCAUGUGCACUUGGAUUUGGACAAAUGAUCAAAAGUCGGGAACGAAUCCGAAUGUGGACGAGCACUCCAUAUCUAGGGGUCCAUUCACGUGCAAUUGUCAUGACUUAAACAGAAAGAAGAAGUCUUUGAGCGAUACAAAUGACUUCAAGAUUUGGAAGUUAUAUAAGGGGUUCAAACCAGGUGGAUUUUCUCUGGCCUAUGCUUUUGGUUUAGUUUGGAUUCUUAGAUAAGUUGCUAGAAUUGAUGCAGAGAGAAUGAGUUUGGGUACCAGUACAAUGACCAACAGUGUCUAAUUUAUGUCAUUUCCAAUAUAAGCAAAAGGAAUGUGAAGAGGAAUGAGUAUGUAUUGUUUGAAGCUCCUAGGCAACAGCAAAAGAAGGCCUCCAAAAAGAGAGAUGGAUAAUUCAUUGGCUACAAACAUUGAUAUUGAGAAUUCUGAUUUGGAGUUGGAUUGGAAACCUAGAGAAGGAACAAGCAGCUUAUGACUUCUACAAUAGAUAUGGAGGAAAAAAGGGGUUUAGUAUUAGAAGGGAGACUCAUGGUAAGAAUAAAAGAACAAAAGAACUCACUUCAAGAUUAUUUGUUUGCUGUAAGGAAGGUAUUCGAUCCAAAGAUAAGAGGGAUUACAUGAUCAGAAAACCCAGAGCAGAGACAAGAACAGGUUGUGGUGCUAAACUUUGUAUUAAAUUGAAUAGGAGGAACAAUAAGUUCUUUGUUAGCCAUUUUGUUGAAGAGCACAAUCAUCCUCUUGUGGGGAAAGAAUGUUCCCACAUGCUACCUUCACAACAGAAUGUUCCCAAGGCCUCGCCGGCACUGACCCAAGCCCUCCGAUCCAGCUCCACCUCACCCGUCGUCGCACCUUCAUUCUCAACCCCACUGUCGAGGCCUCUUCCGUCAACCGCCAUGGUCUACGAUCGCCUCGCCGAGGACGUCAAAUCUAAGCUCCAGAGUCUCGAAAACCCCGACCCGAGGUUCCUCAGCUUGAAAAAACAAUGAAAUCUACAUUCAUUCGUGAGAUACAAGCUUUUCAGUACAACUUCAAAAUGAGAGUUCGUGUAUCAAGAGUAUGGAGACCAAAGAAGUUGAAUACUAUUCAUCAAAAAAAAAAAAAGAAGUUGAAUACUAUUCAUCAAAAAAAAAAAAAGAAGUUGAAUGCUGACAUGUAUGAUGACCUCCAUUAUGUCUUAGUUGACAAAAGAGUAACCACUGUUUUUUGAAUCAACUCCAGCAACAACUUUUCCUGACCAACUCCAGCAUCUAAUGCAGCUGCAACUGAAGCAAUCAGCUAGAGCAUUUUGUGCAACUGUGAUUGGAGCAAUCACUUUUUUGAACAAGCUCCAGCAAUAACCUUUGCUAGAUUAACUUGAGACCCUUUUGUAAAACUAGCAUUGUUGCACCGGCUCCAGUUGAACAAGCUUCAACUAAAAUGUAACAUGUAUAAAAACCCUUUGAUACUUUAAUAAUAUAUGUAACUAUAUAUGUUCCUUUAAUAUUUCAUCAUGCUGAUUCAUUUACAAGAACAAACUCCGCAGCAAAGUGCGGGAAAAAUUUCUAGUACAAUAUACAAAGCUGAGUUCUACUGUUACACUGUUCACGUAACUGUAUCAUGCCGAUUUUGCCCUUGCCUUUGUCCCACUACUUCACGCUGCCAUUGGCGUAUAGAUAAGCAUGGCUAUUGUGUGUUCGGGGGAGACUUCCAUCGAGUUGGUUCUGAUAUAUAAAGAAAACGCCCAAUCUAUUAUCUUCAGGAAGCUUCUGUCAAGGUCAAGAUUCACUGUUACUUGAGAAUAAAAUCGGAGAUCAACUUCGACAACAGUGAACGAUCGGUUUAUCUAUCUGAGGAUCGGAGGGUGCAUUAAAUCGAGGUUGGCUCUGGGAAUUCCGGCAUGGAAAUUGCUUUGGAUCUGGCAAACGAUGGUGCAAAGACUUCAAUCAUUGGUUCUUUUUUUUUGUCAAGAAGGAUGGUUUACUUGGCCUUGGUUUUGUUGAGAUAUCUUUCACUAAGCAAAGUGGAUUCUUUGAUGGUUUUGCUUAGCAAGCUGGUUUAUGGAGAUCUGACCCCAAGUACGGGAUAGCCAGGCCAAAAAAGGGCCCUUUCUUUAUGAAGAUCAAGUACGACAAGUAUCCGGCCAUUGAUGUCGGCGCCUGUAAUAAGAUCAAGUCCGAUGAGAUUCAGGUUUUACCCGCAGAAAUAGGCAGCAUAAGAGGAAGCGAUGUGGAACUCAAAAAGGGGAAGUCAUACCAGUUUGAGUCCAUCGUUUUCUGCACCGGAUUCAAGACAUCAACAAGUUUGUGGCUCAAGAUGAUUAUCUUUUGAAAGAAGAUGGGAUUCCAAGACCAAGUUCUCCAAACCAUUCCAAGGGACAGAAGGGUUUGUAUUGUGUGGGACUAUCAAGAAUUUGGAGCCAAAAUUUGUUUAAUCACCUCUUGUCGGGAUACUUGCUACAUUGAGAUCCUUCCUAAAGACAGGAAUCCUACACGAGAGCUUUGGCUGACUUUUGGAGCGGAGUGCAUUACAACUCACUAUAUGCUACUGCAGAUGUUCCCACAAGAAGUCCCAGAAAGAACCAUUGGCUUUUCUAGACUGCAAUUAGCAAGCAGACAGACCAUUAUGUAAUCUUAGUCUGCUUGCCGGUAUCCAUUCUACUGUCUUUGGCAGAAUUAGAAAAUGGGACAGUGCCUUGGUUGUUUCUGAUAGGUUCAUAAUUUCAUAUAUUUUUAUACCCUUAAAUGUAGGAUUCUAGGCUUAGUUCUUAUCAUUUUUGAGUCAUUUACUUUGUGUUUGUGUUUUGUAGGUUAAAUUGGAGAAAAGAAAGAUUUGGAGCUUAAAGUCAAACGCGGGAUUGAAAGGAUGCUUGCUAUCCUGAGCGUCCAGAAUUGUCUCUGCUGUGCGUCAACUUCAUAGAUUAAACUGUACCUUCUCAGAAGGAAUUAGCAGGCGAGCCUUAUACCAUUGGAAAGAUACGGAUGUUAGCUUUCUGAGGAAUUUUACGGAAGUGGAUUCGCAUUCUUGUAGAGGAAGUUAUGAUGAUUUAAGUGAACCUAGUUCGGGAAGGCAGAUUCUGACGGAUUUUGCAUAUCUUUUGAGAAUCUGGUUUGUGAAGCCCAAAUCCGUUGCUCUUAGUACUUGAAUGGAUAAGACUGAACGUAUCUGGUAUACUUGGAGUAAUUUCUUGCAUUGACUUUAAUAACCCUGCGUUUCUUUGGAGAGAAGAAAGCUAUUCCAAGUUGGACUAGAAGACCUAAGAAGCCCAAGUCAAGUAGGAUUUGAAAAGAGACAUACAUGGAGAAAACCUAGCACGUUUUAGACAAGAAGAGACAGCAGAUUACGCAGAGAACAAGGAGAAGAGAAGCUCUCACCAACGCUGGUUCCAAGUUCCUCAAUUCUUCCAUUGUCUGUUUUCAUGAUUUCUUUGAUUCUAGUCAUGUUUUUCAUAGUUAUGGAUUGCUAAACUUCUAGGCUAGGGCUGAGAUGAAGCCCCUAGUAUGACUAUUCUAUUUAUUUAGUUGGUUUGCUAUUGAAUUUCUGGAUUUCUAUGUUAAACUCUUAAUCACCGUUUCAAUAGAACUUUUAUUCAAAAUC